rnacentral:rRNA from 1 species
GAUGAACGCUGGCGGCAUGCCUAAGACAUGCAAGUCGAACGAGAUGGCCCAGUGAAGGUUGAGUGCUUGCACAAGACUGAAUCUGGAUUCCCAUCUAGUGGCAGACGGGUGAGUAACACGUGGGUGACCUACCUUUUCGUUGGGGGAUAACAGUUGGAAACGAUUGCUAAUACCGAAUAAAAUGUAAGAGUCAAUUUUACAUUGAAAGGAGCCUUUAAAGCUUGCGAUUAGAUGGGCCUGCGGCGUAUUAGCUGGUUGGUGAGGUAACGGCCCACCAAGGCGACGAUCAGUAGCCGGCCUGAGAGGGUGAACGGCCACAUUGGGACUGAGACACGGGCCUAAAACUCCUACGGGAGGCAGCAGU